rnacentral:rRNA from 1 species
GGAGUUUGGGCCGUGUCUCAGUCCCAAUGUGGCCGUUCAUCCUCUCAGACCGGCUACUGAUCGUCGCCUUGGUGGGCCGUUACCCCACCAACCAGCUAAUCAGACGCAGGCCCAUCCUUCAGUGACCGGUUGCCCGGCCUUUGGUGCAUCGGCCAUGCGGCCAAUGCACUUCAUUCGGUAUUAGCAUUCCUUUCGAAAUGUUGUCCCCAUCUGAAGGGCAGGUUGCCUACGCGUUACUCACCCGUUUGCCACUAGAGUUCGCACCUAACACCCAGCCACUGACUGAUCAGUAACUCGGUGUUAAGCACGCCCUCCCGUUCGACUUGCAUGUGUUAAGCACGCCGCCAGCGUUCGUCCUCGAGCCACUGAUCAAACUACU